rnacentral:tRNA from 3 species
UCCGUGUUAGUAUAUCGGCUAGUAUGACCGCCUUUCACCGAGAAGCGCGCGGUAGAGACGGGUUCGAUUCCCGUACGCGGAA